rnacentral:tRNA from 1 species
GGCUGUGUAGCUCAACGGUAGAGCGCUACCUUGUCAGGGUAGAGAGUGCGGGUUCGAUCCCCGUCACGGUCG